GGUUAAACGGCUUGGUAUAAAUGUAAAAUUGUCCCUAGUGUGUGUAGGAUAGUGUUAGUGGGCGGGGAUCGCUGGUCGGCACACUGACCCGGUGGGUCGAAGUGCCUGUCUCAGCGCUGGAUCUCUAGCCUUACCUAAACUAAAUUGUCAUGGAGACGGGCGGAUGUGCUGCCGAGCUGGGAGAGGCCAGGCCUGUCUCCCACCGUGAGAGGAGCGAGGGGCGAAUGAAUGGGUGGUUUAUUCGUAGGUUGAGCUUCGCCAGUGUUUACGCGCCCUUCCCGGAGGGUUUCCCGCCUUCCCCAACACCGGGUUGAGGAUCGUGGUGUCCCAAACAGCAGCACGGGAGGAGGGCGCUGCCUUGAGGCGCCUCCGUGCAAACCGUCUCCGUCUGCCAGCAGUCUCGGUGGCCGAGCGAUCCGCUCCAGUUUAGUUUAUUGUCACGUGUACCGAGGUACAGUGAAAAGCUUUUGUUGCAUGCCAAUCAGUCAGCCAUUGCCGUUCUCACCCCCCCAUCCCCCUGAGCGCUGCGGACAUGGUUGACUCAAGGAUCUGCAGACGCCGGUUUACCAAAAAAAAAGACACAGAGUGCUGGAGUAAUUUGGCGGUCCACGCAGCAUCUCCGGAGGACGUGGAGAGGCUACGUUUUGGGUUGGGGCCCUUCUUCAUGGCAACGGUCGGCGUGUUUGAUCUCAUCGUUAUCGCACUCUUCACGUAGCCUCACCGUUUAAUCUUCGACCCCAGUCUCGGUGCUGGAGCAGCAGAGAGUCACAGUGCCCCCGUCACCUCUCCUCCGUCUCUCUAGAGGCUGCAGGAGGGGAACGCCGUCCAUCCCAACCCGCCAUGGGACAACAUACCCCCUGUGGAUGCCACCACUCCUAACACCAUGGGGAAAGGACUUGCUGACCGUUGCGCCCAAGCCGAGAGAUGACCCUGCUGUUCAAUACAAUUUGAGCUCACGGGCCACUUUUCUCCCACUUCCGUCGUCACAACCCUUCCCCUUUUCCUAGAGAUUCCUGUGGAAAAACCUAAAGGAAAAUAAUUGCUUUCGGAAGAAGUUGCUCUUGGCAAACCUGCCUCUCGGUGAAAAUGUGGAAACGAGGAACUGCAGGUGCUAGUUCAUACCAUAAAUAGGCGCGCAGUGCUGGUGUAACUCAGUGGGGUCAUGCAGCAUCUCUGGACUUCUUCCAGCACAUUGCGUCUGCCUCUCAGUGAGGUGGCCAUGUCUCUGAACGAGGUUGCCAAUGAGGAUGGUCCAGACUUUCCCCUUCCCAUUCACCGUCUACCCCUGGGGCCAGGGAGUGACGUCUCCAGUCCGAGUUACAUCGGGGGGGGGAAGAUGAUCAGACGUGGACAAAAUCUCCUCGGGAAAUGCGGCCUACCCACAAUGGCGCAGCGGGUAGAACCACUGCCUCGUAGCACCAGGGAUCCCGGGUUCGAUCCCAACCUUGGCUGCUGUCUGUGCGUGGAGUUUUCACGCGACUUACCUCGUGGGCUCGGUGGGCCAAAGGGCCCGUUCUCUUGCUGUAUUGAUCAAUUUGAACUUGAAGGGGAUCGUGUUCAAUGGUCUGAAGAAGCCUCUUAAUGUGCUUGGUUCAUUCUAGUUCUUUUGCUUCCAUCUGAUUCACAGCAGUGACAACAACCCGUUCCGUUGGGACAGAUUUGGAACGAGAGCCCGAGAAACAAACUUGCUUUCACCCGCACAAUAAAAACACAACACUCCUGCCACCAAUCUCAAGCAAGCAAUCACAUUCCUCUCUGGCCUCUAUCUGCACAAU